rnacentral:rRNA from 1 species
ACCUAGUGGCGGACGGGUGAGUAACACAGUGGGUGACCUACCCUUAAGACUGGGAUACCUAUUGGAAACGAUAGUAAUACCGGAUAACACGUAUAUCGUUUAUACGUUAAAAGGAGCCUUUAAAGCUUCACUUUUGGAUGGGCCUGUGGCGUAUUAGUUAGUUGGUGAGGUAAUGGCUCACCAAGACGACGAUGCGUAGCCGAACUGAGAGGUUGAUCGGCCACAUUGGGACUGAGACACGGCCCAAACUCCUACGGGAGACAGCAGUUAGGAAUAUUCGUCAAUGGGGGAAACCCUGAACGAGCAAUGCCGCGUGAAUGAUGACGGCCCCUAUGGGUUGUAAAAUUCUGUUGUAUAGGAAAAACGAUAAGAUUAGGAAAUGAAUCUUGUGUGAUGGUACUAUACCAGAAAGCUCCGGCUAACUACGUGCCAGCAGCAGC